GAUGAACGCUGGCGGCGUGCUUAACACAUGCAAGUCGAACGGUGAAGGCCGACUUUGCUCUGCUGCUUGAGUGGCGAACGGGUGAGUAACACGUGAGUAACCUGCCCCUGACUUUGGGAUAAGCGCUGGAAACGGCGUCUAAUACCGGAUACGAGCUGCUGCGGCAUGUUCAGCAGCUGAAAAGAACUGCGGUCAGGGAUGAGCUCGCGGCUUAUCAGCUUGUUGGUGAGGUAGCGGCUCACCAAGGCGUCGACGGGUAGCCGGCCUGAGAGGGUGACCGGCCACACUGGGACUGAGACACGGCCCAGACUCCUACGGGAGGCAGCAGUGGGGAAUAUUGCACAAUGGGCGAAAGCCUGAUGCAGCAACGCCGCGUGAGGGACGACGGCCUUCGGGUUGUAAACCUCUUUUAGCAGGGAAGAAGCGAGAGUGACGGUAACUGCAGAAAAAGCGCCGGCUAACUACGUG
rnacentral:rRNA from 1 species